rnacentral:rRNA from 1 species
UACGUAGGGUGCAAGCGUUGUCCGGAAUUAUUGGGCGUAAAGAGCUCGUAGGCGGUUUGUCGCGUCGAAUGUGAAAACCCGGGGCUCAACCCCGGGCCUGCAUUCGAUACGGGCAGACUAGAGUUCGGUAGGGGAGUCUGGAAUUCCUGGUGUAGCGGUGAAAUGCGCAGAUAUCGGGAGGAACACCAGUGGCGAAGGCGACUUCCUGGCCUGUUCUUGACGCUGAGGCGCGAAAGCUAGGGGAGCAAACGGG